CCAAAAUCAAAGAAAAGAAAACAGGAAAGGGUUAAAUCUGGUCGUGCGAAAGGAGAGGGGGGCCAAAUGGGAAAUAUUCCCAUGUUGAUUAAACAGUGCCGUUCCAGAGAGGUACGUGCACAUGUCAUAUGGGCCAAAUUGAAACAGAAACAAAAUUUUAUGGCCAAAAUUAAGUAAAAUAGAAAACUGCAUUGAAUAUGCCACAAAAUCAGAGGAGCCAAUUGCGCAAAUGACCCCAUAAACGAAAACACGCGGAUCCUUCCCCCGGGGCCGGGUCACUACGCGGGUCAGGGCCGAAACGACGCCGUUUUGGCUCCUGACCCCUUGCAAAAACGGCACCGUUUUAAUUAGGGUAUUUAAGUUAAUAAUUUUUUUUUAAAACAUUCAGCCCCUCAUUUAAAAAAAAAAAACUAAAUCCUUCCCCUCCUUCCACGAAAACUUCCCCCCUUACUCCGGCCCGAGGUUCCGGCGGGCGGCGGCGGCGGUCGGAGGUGCAAAAUCGGGUCUUUUUAGCCCCAUUUGAAGCCGAUCAUUCCUUGGAACCCGGAUUCGAGGUUGGGUUCGUUAAAAAAUGGGCCAAAACCGAAGGGAAAAGGAGGAAACCGUUCGCUUUCCCCUUUCUCCGGCGCGGCGCAGGUAAGGCUUUUCUUCUGUUUCUUUGUUAUUUAGUAUAAAAAGGUAAAAAAUAAAACAAGAAAAUGAAAACAGAAAGGAUAUUCGAACACAAAAAAUCACCCAUUUUUUUUCUCUGAUUUUCUUAAUGUUUUUUUCAAAGGCCAGUGGCCAUUACAAUGUUUUUAUUUUUCCCUAUAUAGCCGAUUUGGCUAACUUCUACUUUGGUCAAUUUUGCAGGUGGCGCAGAGAGCAGGCGCGGCACCGGUCAGAGGGCAGGUGGACGAAGGCCUUAGGUGCGGCGCACCUAGGGUUAGGGUCUUUUUUCUGAUUAUUCUAUUGUAAUUGGGCUUGGGUUAUAAUUGGGCCUGGGUUUUUUGUAGUGGGUUAUUUGGGCAGUCUAGGCUUGUUUGGGGUUUAGUUUGUAAUGGGCCUCGGGUAUUGGGCCAUUUGGGCCCGGGCAAAAUUGGGUUGUACAAUGAGCACAUUGAUGCAUCAUGGAGAAUAGAACAAGAUAUGUGUAUAUGACCAUAAACUGUAAACAUAUACUUGGCACAAAUAUUUAAAGAUGUAACAAAGUUAUGGUUAACACGAUGCUUAUAUAUCCCAUUUUCUCUAUGGCACAAACUGUUAGGUAUAGUUUAGCAGCCUUAAAGUAUCCUCAUUUCAACGUGUUUUGGCUGUGAGCAAAUGAUGCUCUUAAAAGGUGCAGCACCCACAUCAUUAGACACAAUUUGCCCAGUCUGAUUUGAGAUGGACUGAUAAAGAGGAGCUUCGGUUCAAUAUAGAACUACUUCCAAUCCUGAGCCAAGAUGGCAUAUUAUAUGACAUUCUUUUUGUUAAGGAUAUAGCUAGUCUGUUAGUAUUGUUGAAGAUAGUUAUUCAAGUAGUUGGUGUUUAGCUCAGGUUGUUAGCUAGCUGUUAAGAGAAGUAGUUAC
rnacentral:lncRNA from 1 species